AGAGUUUGAUCCUGGCUCAGAAUGAACGCUGGCGGCAGGCCUAACACAUGCAAGUCGAACGGAAUUAUAUUGUAGCUUGCUACGGUAUAAUUUAGUGGCAGACGGGUGAGUAAUGUAUAGGAAUCUACCUAGUAGUACGGAAUAAUUGUUGGAAACGGCAACUAAUACCGUAUACGCCCCACGGGGGAAAAAUUUAUUGCUAUUAGAUGAGCCUAUAUUAGAUUAGCUUGUUGGUAGGGUAAUAGCUUACCAAGGCAAUGAUCUAUAGCUGAUCUGAGAGGAUGAUCAGCCACACUGGAACUGAGAUACGGUCCAGACUCCUACGGGAGGCAGCAGUAGGGAAUUUUCCACAAUGGGCGAAAGCCUGAUGGAGCAAUACCGCGUGAAGGAUGAAGGUUUUAGGAUUGUAAACUUCUGUUAUAGAGGAAGAAAAAUACCGGUAGGAAAUGAUCGGUGUCUGACGUUACUUUAUCAGAAAGAGACGGCUAACUACGUGCCAGCAGCCGCGGUAAUACGUAGGGUGCGAGCGUUAAUCGGAAUUACUGGGCGUAAAGCGUGCGCAGGCGGUUAUAUAAGACAGAUGUGAAAUCCCCGGGCUCAACCUGGGAACUGCAUUUGUGACUGCAAGGCUAGAGUACGGUAGAGGGGGAUGGAAUUCCGCGUGUAGCAGUGAAAUGCGUAGAUAUGCGGAGGAACACCGAUGGCGAAGGCAAUCCCCUGGACCUGUACUGACGCUCAUGCACGAAAGCGUGGGGAGCAAACAGGAUUAGAUACCCUGGUAGUCCACGCCCUAAACGAUGUCAACUGGUUGUUGGGUCUUCACUGACUCAGUAACGAAGCUAACGCGUGAAGUUGACCGCCUGGGGAGUACGGCCGCAAGGUUGAAACUCAAAGGAAU
rnacentral:rRNA from 1 species